CCGGCAGCGCUCCGUGCCCGCCGCCCGCCUGAGCCUCCCGGGGCCGGCCCGGCCCGGCCCGGGGCCGCCCGCCCUGCUCGGCCGCCGGGACUCCAUCGACAGCAGCUGCCCAAGGUUUGUCCGUGUGGCAGCGGGGCCAGCCGCGACCGCCGAGGGAUCCUCCGCUGCGAGUGCCCGAGGAGAGGCCGGUUCGGGCCCGGAGGGUCCCGGGGUGGCGAUGGGAGCGCUGGUCUGAGCUCCGCCGGGCACCCCCGGGUGCGGAGCCGAAACCGCAUUCCCCAGCUGAGGAUAAACCAGAGGUGAUCCGGUUCCGUCCCACGGGAGCGCUCCUGACAGGCUCGGUGCCUCGGAGGGGCGAGGAUGGCUCAGGAGACGAACCAGACACAGGUGCCUCUGCUGUGUACCACGGGCUGCGGGUUCUAUGGCAGCCCCCGGACCAACGGCAUGUGCUCCGUGUGCUACAAGGAGUUCUUGCAGAGGCAGCAGAGCAGUGACCGGAUAAGCCCUCCAGCACCCAGCGGUCCCAGCAGCAGCCCCAUGGCUUCCGAGGCCAUCGCAGGACAGUGCGCGGAGGGAGACUCCACACCUGAGGAUGCAAAAGCCAGCGCUCAGACUCCUGUGACCCAUCAGAUGACGGCCAUGAGCAUAUCCAGAGAGGAAACCAGCAAUGAAACAGAGGAAUUCAGCAAGACAGAUGAAGCCUCAUCAGCUUCUUCCUCAUCAGGUACCCUGCUUGAGAUAUCCCAGAACACGGCUGAGGGCAAGACGGCUUCGGAAAAACCGAAACCGAAGAAGAAUCGCUGCUUCACCUGCCGGAAGAAGAUUGGACUGACUGGCUUCGACUGCCGCUGCGGGAACCUGUUCUGUGCCAUUCACCGGUACUCCGACAUGCACGCCUGCCCCUACGACUACAAGGCAGAAGCUGCCGAGAAGAUCCGCAAGGAAAACCCCAUCGUUAUCGCCGAGAAGAUCCAGAAGUUGUGAAGGGGUCCGAGCAGCUCGAACUGCAGCCAGCCCGCCUGGUGCUCCUCCCCUUCCUCCCGGCCUUCCUCCUCCUCCUCCCAGCCCCUGCGCGGUGCGAGGGUGGCUCCAGCAGCGCACCUGGACACGGGGACUCCUCGCACCUCUGGUGUUCCUCCUCUCCCUCCCUGCCUGUCCGACAGCCACAGCUCAGCUGAUGUGUUCUCAACCAGCUUCCCAGAGGAAAAGGGACCGUCCUGCCCCGCUGCUGUGGCACUAAGACCUUGGCACUUGCCUUUUGGUGGGCAGUUUGCGUGGUGUGAGCAGCCGGGCUCUGCCGGGCAGCCUUUCCCUUCCUGGUGACUCAAGUCCUGCAAACCACCCAGGACUUGUGGCCACAGUCCCCGAGCAGCUGCUGGACUCGUUCCCUCUGCCUGCAGUCCCGGGAGCUGGGGGAUCCUGGCAGCCAGGCUGCCGUCUGCUCCCCGGGAGGUGUUUGCUCUCAGAUGCACAAAAGUUGAUUCUGUAGUUCAGCACCCCAGACCCCUCUCCCCACCCUCUGCUGACGCUGUUGGAGAAGCACCACGGGGGUUGAGCAGUGAUGCUGGCACAGGGAGGUUAUUUUGUGGCUUGAAGUGAGGUGGGCAGGACCUUCCAGGAGGUUCUGCUUGCUGCCUUGUGCCUCUCUCCACAGGGAGGCCCCCUGCUCCAGCCUCCUGCUUCAGCACCCCUGGAUAACCCCGGCUGCUUUCCCAGCAAGGUGUGUGUCCCUCAGCACUGCCUGUGCCUGCUCUCCUCUCUCCCCUCUUUCCUCUCCCCUUUCUCCUCUCCCUUCUCUCCUCUCUCCCUGCCUUCUGCCUUACACGAGUUGCUCUCAUCAGGGUUGUGCACAAAGCUCAGGUCCCCACGCCUCUGCUUCUGGACCUGUCCCUGCACCCAGGUGACAGUGGGGUCCCCUCCUGCCAUGUGGGCCAUGCUGGUACUGGGGAGAGCUCGGGGAGCCCACCCAGCUGCCCUCCUCUGCCUCCUCCCUCCCUGUGGGAUGAGAGGCAGGGCCAGGUCCCCAGGAGAUGCUCUGCAAGCCAGACAGAGGGAACUGGGGCACAGGGAAAGUCACCAGGAGGGUCCUGGGGCGCCCAGAAGUCCAGGUGGGGGCUCAAAAACACCCAUGGAGAAACCCAGGGAGCAGGGAGAGGUGCCUGGAGGGCUCUGGGCUCACUGAGACUCAAUUCCCUGAGAAGGAGAACUUUGGGGUACAGUGAACAUGCUCAGAGGCCUCAAGCACCCUAAGAGGCACGUGGAAGGCUCUGGGGCUGCUCUCACUCACACACAGGAAGGGAGGUGUGGGAAAAACCAAAUGCCACUCAGUACCACUCCAGAAAGAGCACCUGGAGGGCUCUGUUGGGAGGAGCUGGGGCUCAGGGAUGCAGCACAAGGCAGGCAGGGGCUCCUGGGGCACAGCCACAGCCUCCUCCAUGCCCAGGGGAUUCCUGGGAACAGCAGGAGUGAGGCUGUGCCCACGGAGCUCUGCCUUUCUCAAGCAGAGAAACCCAGAUGCGUCCCAGGGGACAAGCAGCAGCCUCUGUCCCACUCUGCUGGCCAUCCCACGCUUUGGAAACAUUUCCCUUGGUGUCAGCACAGCUGGGGAAACCUCAGCAGCUCCUUCCUUCCAAAGGCUGUUUUCCUGCCCUGCUUGUGGCAGUUCUGCCCAGGUGCUGGAGUGUUUGGUUUUUGCAGUGUGUGCUCUGUGGCAGCUGCCAUCCUGUGCUGCUGCUGGCAGCAUCUGAACCUCCCAAACUGCCACAGAGAGGAGCGAGGCUGCCUCUCAGCAGCCUUUUCCUCAGGAUUUUCCUUCUGGAUAACACUGACAUGUCUGGAGCAUGCAAGUGGCUGCACGUGUCAGCCCUGGACACACCUGGGCCAGCACGGAGCUGGUGGUGGCCAGGCUGGGUUUGCCUGAUCCCUCCCCCUCAGGGGAUGCAGGAAUUUGGCCCACCAGCCCCGAGGAAGUGCAGCAGCUCCCAUGGAUCCCUUGGGAAAGCCCACAGCCACCUGCUUCUCCAGCACCGCCCUUUUCCCUGUUCUCCCUCCCUGUCCAUGAGUGUAAAUACAACACAGUCUAGUU
rnacentral:lncRNA from 1 species